rnacentral:SRP_RNA from 1 species
UCCGAGGUUUGGCGGACGGCCUGCUCUCGCAACCUGGUCAGGUUCGGAAGAAAGCAGCCAAGCGCGCGCCGGCCGGGUCGCCAAAACCUCGCUUCA